AAGCACACACCAACCAGCCCCUUCAGUGUUCUGGAAUACAUGCUGGUGGCCAAAGUGCGGUGCGAGAAAU
rnacentral:snoRNA from 14 species